UACGGAGGGUGCGAGCGUUGUCCGGAAUCACUGGGCGUAAAGGGCGCGUAGGUGGCUACUCAAGCGCGCGGUGAAAGCCCGAGGCUCAACUUCGGGUCGGCCACUGAUACUGCUAGGCUUGAGUCGACUAGAGGCAGAUGGAAUUCCGGGUGUAGCGGUGGAAUGCGUAGAGAUCCGGAAGAACACCGGUGGCGAAGGCGGUCUGCUGGGGUCGAACUGGACGCUGAGGCGCGACAGCGUGGGGAGGCAAACAGG
rnacentral:rRNA from 1 species